rnacentral:tRNA from 2 species
AGUAUCGUAGCUCAAUGGUUAGAGUGCUCGGUUGUCUCCCGAGAAGUUGCGAGUUCGAAUCUCGUCGGUACUG